rnacentral:misc_RNA from 1 species
CGAGGGCAGGAGCUGGCCACCCAUGCACAGACGCGUCGGUGCAUGCGUCGGGGACACCUCGUGCAUGGGUACGUGUGUCUGAGUUUUCGCUCCUCCUGUUGUGCGACGUCCAAGCACCCCUGCGGUGAGGGAAGAGGAGGAGAAAGUAAGGGGAGCGUGUUCGAUGCCUUGUUCGCUCUCUUCCCUUCUCCCGUCUGUUUUCUCGUCCUGUCAGGUGUACUUUAUCCAAUGUAUACACAGUACUCAUAACGCCACCCAACAACAGCGUGCGUGCCCCCAUCAACAUCAUCACCCCUUCGCCAACCAGGAUACUUCACCUCUUUCGUGUUCCUUCCCUCUCUGUGUUGUCCUGUCGUGCAUGAGACGCUUGUCGGUGCUACCGCUUCUGCCUCGUCGUUUCUUCACUUGUCGAUGGCUCCUUUUCUUUGGAUACACAGACUCACAACUUUUUGCGCCUUCUCUGCGCCUCCCUCUCCCGUCUGUUGGGCCACUGCUAUGUCCGUGUAGGUGGGGAUGGAUGUACACCUUCCCCUUCCCCGCCCGCCCGCUGCUUCUCCGUGUGUGUUCGCCUUCGCUCUGUUUUGCUUUUUGACUUCGGCUGUACUCCGUGGCUCUCCCUCGUCUUUCGGUCGCCCCGCUCUGCGCACGUGCGUCCUCUCCCCCCCCCCCCACACACACACACAUACCGCCCGUUGAUGUUGUUCCUAUCUCUUUGCCCUUCGGCUUCUCUCUGCUCGCAUAUACUGAAGCUGCUACGUGGCGGGGCAUUGCUGGUGUGUCUCUGUGAGUCAGUGGGCGUAAGUUGAUGUCGUCGUGGUGAGGGGGGAGGGGGGCGCCAUGGAUGUCAUGCUCAUCCCUCUCCCCCCUCCCGCCUGUGCUCUUGCUGCGCUGUUCCUGGUCACUCUGCUUUGGCGGAAAGGAGUUUCUCGUAGAGUUCACAGAAGCGCAACGAGAGCCACCUCAUUGCCCCCUUUUCGCGGCAUGGCCCUCCCCCCUCGCGGCGCUGCUGAUGAUGCAUUGUGCGGCACUCGUCGUGAUUGUUUAUCGUGCGUGGCUCGGCGUGGGAGACGUCGCACCGCCGUCGUCGAGCGUUUUCCUUGUAGCUUCCGCACUCACCGCUCCGGAGAUGGUCUCCUCUUGGCAUUUCGCUUGCACCCUCUCUCUCUCCCUUUCUCUUCGCUGUGCUGUCUUGUGCCUCACAUGGGCGAUCAUCACGGCGCACAG